rnacentral:lncRNA from 1 species
AGGGGGCCAGGUGCGCGUGCGCAGAGCCUCCCGCGGGGGGGGGGGUGCGAGUGCGCUUGCGCCCGGGCCCUACGUGUGCGGGCGCAGAUCCGCGCGGGCCCAGUCGGGUCGCGGCGCGGUCGGGGAGGAGGUCGGAGUCCGCGCGGCCUGUACAGCAGCCUAGACCGCCUCUCGCGUGGGGACGGUCGCCCAGGCACCAGGCGAAGGACGGGCGGGGCACUGUCCCGCCUCAGCCUCCCCGCGCCUCGCCGCGCGGGUCACGUGACGCAGGCGGCCCCGCGCGCCCCCAGUCGACGCCGCUCAGCUGGCGCCUCGCUUCUGCUCUGACAGCCGGCGUGCGGAGGUCGGCCCGGGGCUCCCGCCUGCCCGGAGCCUGCCCAGGCCGCUGCGCGCUCUUCUGACCCCGAGUGUGCGUGUGCGGGCGCCGGCCCUCGAGUCCACUGGAGAACCCCACACGCUCACAUCCUCAGUUUUAAUGUUUUGGGGCACUGGGGAUUCCACGGGGGUCUUUCCACUGAGCUGCGCCCUAGCCCUUUCUUAUUUAGAGACAGCGUCUCCCUAAGUGGCUAAGUUGCCCAUGCCAGGCUCCACCUGCGGUCUUCCUGCCUCGGCCUCCCGGAGUGCGGGAUGACAGGCGUGUGCACCCCACCCGGCCUUCUCAUUUGCAUCAGGUCCUUGCUAGGUGGCAGGAGGCCUACUGCGUGCGAUGCUGUGUGACUCACUGCCUACCUCAGGAGGUGAGAAGGGGCCUGCACGCAUUCAGCGUAGACCGGAGUUUUUCUCUUACUUUCCACAGGGUGGGUGCGAUCGGAGGGUGCAGAGCCGCGCUGACACGGUCGUGUGUGCGCGUGCUGUGCAUCCAUGCACACGCAGCAGAGAUCACCUCGGACGUCGAGGUCAGCUGGAUACCACGGACACAGGCAGGGGAGAGCUGAGCAAGCUGAAAGGUUGGGGGCAGGCGACCCAGCGUCCACGAGGCCAACGCAGAAGAGCCCAGCAGCGGGACCUGGGACAGGACCCGAGGUUCAGGGCUCUUUGGCCAGCCCGACUCGGCCUCCUGUCAGGAGGGUGUGGAGAGAGCUAUGCCCCAGGGUGCAGGACAGAUCGAAGGAGAGCCUGCCACGGUCCUCAGGUCACAGUGCACCCCCACUUGAACAGUGCGGCCCUGCUGUAG